ACUACAGUGCGCGCAGCGCACUGCGCCAAGUCUAAUCGAGUUAAAAGCUUAGUUAACUGGUCUUGAAAUACCUGGUUAUGACAGAAAAAUAACUUUUAGUCAAAUCUAUGAAAUUUCAUACCACCUAAGAAAUUCAAAUGAAACAUUGAAUGUAACAACAACAAAACCAGAAACUCUAUUGGGAGAUGUAGUUCUUGCUGUUAAUCCAAAUUAUGAUCGUUUUAGUCACUUCAUUCGGCAACAAGUAAAACACCCUCUAAAAGAUGCUUAUUUAUUUACCUGUGAUAGCUGAUGCAUGUGUAAAAAUGGAUUUUGAUACAGGUACGAGCUGGUGGCAUUUGCUGCUUCUUUAGAAAAAUGUAUGUCUCCGUCGCAAUUUCCACAUUUUAGACAAGCCACAAUUGACUAAGAACAAAUAUCAAAUACAUUAAUGUAUGGCCUGUAAACUUUUCCAACCUUCGGAUCAAGAUCCUUUUGAUGUGACUUCUUUAUUUAUUAGCAUGCAUCAUUAAUAUGGUACCCAACUAGAAAAGCUUACAUCUUCGCAUUUUUCAUUGCAAAGUAACAAAGUUCCAGCCUAAAUAUUUCAGAAUCACACAGUUCAAUUAAUAAAUGCCCCAGAAAUCCAAAUAAGCAUAAAUUAAGGAAUUUGCUGAAUAAGUUACGUGUAUCCACAUCCAUAACAAACAUACAAGAUUGGAGUGAACAAAUUGGAGAGCUUAGUGGUCGAUAAAUGCCGGAGAGUCAAGCUGAAAGUUCAUUUGAAUCAGGUUUUGAUACUGUAGAAAAUACAUUUAGCAAUGUUAUCAAGAGCUGGUGGUAUUCACUGCUUUGAUUGAAAUUUAGAGUGAUGCUGUUGCUGAGAAAUUGGACAACAACAGUAGCAUACUGAGAUGCAGAUAAUACAGGUAACACUUUACGCCUGAAAUGGGUUCUCAUUUUCACGUAUGCUACAUGCGUAAUAUAAUAAGUUCUCUUUUUGGGACUCAUGGACAAUCAUGCAAAAAGAAUUUCUCCAAUCUCCAUAUUGAAUACAUCUUGUGGUUCGGCGCUACUAGAUUCAAAGGACUAAAUUCUUUUUUUCUUAUAAAACUUACUUAAUCUAUCGCCUCAGAAUGUUUAUGAUUAAUGUGAAAUAUAGUGAUAAAUAAAGAUCAAGAUAUUGUUUUCGUUUUUAUUAAUAUUUAGUAUGCAACUAAUGCUAAACUUAUCCAGACUGAUCAAAUACAGUGUUCUUCAAAAGCGAGUGGCUUUAAAAUUAACCCGAAUGCGCGCAAUUUUAUAGAACCGCCACCGAACCCGAGAAUUGCCGCUAACCUAACGUUCCUGCGUCAGCCCCGAUGAUACCGAACUCGCCGCCAUACUGUCGCGCGAGAUUCAAAAGUAUUUCUUCCGGACACUGUACAUCUAAUAUCUAAUAAUAUAUUUAAUAAUGACACGUCAAAUAAUUAAA